rnacentral:rRNA from 1 species
AAACUCACCAGGUCAGGACACGGUAAGGAUUGACGGACUGAAGGCUCUUUCUCGAUUCCGUGGAAAGUGGUGCAUGGCCGUUUUUGGUUGGUGGAUCGAUCCGUCUGGUUAAUUCCGUUAACGAACGAGACCUCGGCACUCCGAAUAGCGCGGCGGACGUCGCGGCCUCCGGGCCGUCUUCCGCACGAGCUUCUUAGAGGGACCGUCCCCCGCCGGGGGAAGGAGGUGCGAGGCAACGACAGGUCUGUGAUGCCCUUAGAUGUUCUGGGCCGCACGCGCAUUACACUGACGCGUCCAACGGGUGACUCCCGACCCGAAGGGGCCGGGGAAUCCGCAAGGCGCGUCGUGAUGGGGAUUGAACGUUGCAAUUGUUGUUCACGAACGAGGAAUUCCUAGUAGGCGCGGGUCAUCAACCCCGCGCCGAUUACGUCCCUGCCCUUUGUACACACCGCCCG